UUGAAUUCAGAGAAAGAAACCUUUGCACUUCUAGCCUAUGUUGACACAUGAAGCAAAAACACACCUAAGCGCAAGGCCAUUCAUUCUCAUGAAACACUGCAGGGACCAAAUACUCACCUGGUUGAGGUCUUCGUCGUUGAGCAGGUGAGAUUCUCGAGGCUUAAAACAAUUUUGACAUUUGCUCUUAUUAAAAAUGUUGGCUUGGAAUUUCCUACAGGGGUUCUCUUUGACUGACAUGGUGGGUCGAGGAUAGGACGGGAUGUGUGUUCUCUUUCAAAAUU